rnacentral:rRNA from 1 species
GGGUGUGUGCUGAGCGCGGCGGAACCACGCUGAUCCAUUCCGAACCAGGCCGUGAAACGUCGCAGCGCCGAUAGUACUGGUGUUUGGCACCGGGAGCGUAGGUCCAUGCACCCA